GUGAGUCAUCGAAUCUUUGAACGCAUCUUGCACCUUUUGGUAUUCCAAAAGGUACGCCUGUUUCAGUAUCAUUAUAACCUCUUGCCCAGAUGUAUUUUUGGAAAAAGAGAAUAUGACAGUUGGCCCUGCGUCUCUGCAAAGAGUCGUCUCGGCUUGAAUACCCUGUUGAUUGUAACUGUUUCAUCUACGGUCAUCACUUGAUAAUUAUCGUGUGUCUAACCAGAAAUGAAGCGGGAUCGACCGUAUCAAACCCCCCUAAACUUGAUCUGAAAUCAGGCGGGAUUACCCGCUGAACUUAAG
rnacentral:misc_RNA from 1 species